CCCUCCCGUUCGGCCCGGAGCCGCGGGCAGCACUCACCGAUGAGGUUAGGCACAAACAGGAAGAUAUUUUCGCCUGGCAUCGCGGAGGUCCCCUGGCCGCCCUGGGCCUUAUCUGGAGGUGCCAGCUCUCUCCCAGCUCCGGCGGAAGGCUCACCCUCCAGCCCGGCUCAUCGGCCGCGCCCACUGCACGCAGGUCCCCGCUGCCCCUGCCAGGUCCCAGAUGUUAAAGCUCUUUGCCUGCCGUAGCAUGGGCCGACACAGCUGUGCGUGGGGCACAGAGGGCGCGCACACCCAGCCCUUCCCCUGAGCAGACGCUGGCCUCCGCCUGCCCCGCCGGCUCUCCUGCCUCCAGCUGCGGCCCCUGCUCCUCCAGCUGUGCUUAGCUUCCGGAACCUACUCUUCAGGGUUCGUCCUUGCAAAAUUGGAGAAAGGAAGAAGAGGCUUAAGAAAUGGCUGCGUCCCCUUUAAGACCUGCCCUCUUCCUUUUCCUUUUCUUCCCUCCUCCCCUUUCCAUCGGUUCGUACCAAAGUAAAGAGGGAGGAGAGGGGGCAAAGAACCAUCAACGCUGAGCAAAGGAAGGAACUUAAAAGGAGAGGUCAAAAGAGAAGGAGGCCUAGGUAAAUGUCUCUACUUUCCUUUCUGCGGAGGAUAUGACUCCUGAAGACAAAGAUAAGGAAAAAAGAUUCCGCCCUCCCGAUUCUUUGCACCCCCGAGAGGCCAGGUUAUUUGGCACAGCCCACACCUUUUCUUCCCCGCCCCCUCUCUCUGGCCCCAUUUGCUCUCACAGGCUCCAGGCAAAAACAUGAUAGCCAGAGAGGUUGGAGGGCGGCCUCGGGUGGGGUUGCUUCUCGCGUGCCCCUAGUGGUGGGAGGGUUAGGUGCCAGGCUCCACCUUGAUCUUCCCAAGUUUCUCAAGGCCACUGGCGCGGGGGUCACUGCCCCCAAGGAGGGACCUAAAGGGGGUGGAGGAGAGGCCGGAGAGCGAAUGCGACAAGCUGGGAAAAUGCCCUCCCAGCUUUGGUUCUAGAAUCCCUACUCUCCCUACGGUGCUGCUGAACCUCCGCAGACGCCAAGAGAGAGAACUGACACAGUUCUUCAAGGCCGCGGGGAAUGGUGGUGUGUUGGGUUUGGGAGAAGUGGGCUGGUUUCUCAGCCUAACCUGAGCUUCCGCUGUCCCCAGGGGGAUGGCAUCCACUGCUACCAGGAAUGUGGAGAAAAAGGGCAGCGGGCAGUCCCAAGCCACAGACUCUGCAGCCUGCUUGGGUGGAGGUCCGGGAGCUCUGCCUAGCAACUUGACAUCUGGAGGAUGAUCCCAACUCUGGUGCUGCUCUUGGCCUCUCGUGCCCUCUCCCCACUCUGUUCCUCUAGAACAUGCACCAAAGCUCCUCUUUCACAACUCAUUCAAGUUUGGUUUUGGGGCGAUUCCUGGUCAUGAGCAACAUCACCCCUGAAGCCUCCAAAGGGUUCUGGAACCAUCACACACCUCUCCACCCUCAGCUAGCAAGGACACCACCAGAAAUCAAAAACUUUAAUAAAGUGACAGAGAUCCUUCCCUCCUCUCAGGCUGGGCAGUGCUCUCUGUGGGGUGAUGUGGGAGGAGUGCCCCUCCCCCUUUUUGCCAGCUAUGUGGGCAUAUUAUUUUAUUUAUUUAUUUCCUAUUUCUUUUUUUUUUUAAUCAUCUUUAUUGGAGUAUAAUUGUUUUACAAUAUUCCUUUUUUUUUAACAUCUAUUGGAGUAUAAUUGCUUUACAAUGGGGUGUUAAGUUUCUUGGGCAUAUUAUUGGAAUGGCUUUUUUUUCUUUUUGAGUGAUUUUUCUUUUUUAAUUUUUUUUUUUUUCACAGCACCACGUGGCAUGUGGGAUCUUACUUCCCAGACCAGGGAUCAAACCGGCACCCUCUGCAGUGGAAAUGCGGAGUCUUAACCACUGGACCACCAGGGAAUUACCCUGGAAUGGCUUUUUUUUUUUUAAUAAAUUUAUUUAUUUAUUUAUUUAUCUACUUAUGGCUGCAUUGGGGCUACUCUUCGUUGUGGUAUGCAGGCUUCGCAUUGCAGUGGCUUCUCUUGUUGUGGA